rnacentral:rRNA from 1 species
CGGGGAAUUUUGCACAAUGGGGGAAACCCUGAUGCAGCGACGCCGCGUGAUUUAGAAGGCCUUCGGGUUGUAAAAAUCUUUUCUAUGGGAAGAAAAUGACAGUACCAUAGGAAUAAGGACCGGCUAAUUACGUGCCAGCAGCCGCGGUAAUACGUAAGGUCCGAGCGUUGUCCGGAAUCAUUGGGCGCAAAGGGUACGUAGGCGGGUAAGCAAGUUAGCAGUGAAAUCCUAUAGCUCAACUAUAGUAAGCUUUUAAAACUGCUCGUAUUGAGGUAUGGAAGAGAAAGUGUGAUUACGAGUGUAGCGGUGAGAUGAGCAGAUAUGAGGAGGAAUACCGGUGGCGAAGGCGACUUUCUGGCCAUAACCUGACGCUGGGGUACGAAAGCGUGGGUAGGAAACAGA